CACCGCGUUUGUAUGUGUGGCACUUUGGGCUGCCUCUGCCUGUUGCCCCGUACCGCCCUGCGCCUGUAGUGAAGAAACAAAAAGGGUUUAGCGGGCCCUUCGCUUGCUCGUUUCACUGCUCGGUCAUCGGCCGCUUUCCCUUUCAUAUAGCGACACACUUUCCCCUUCGUACAGGGAUGACGGAGUACGCUGGAACGCAGGCCACAAGGCACGCUGAAUCGGUGAAGUCGACGCCGCCGACAAGUCAGACGAGGGGGAGUAUGCCCGCCGCCACGGCGCUGCCGUCGACGAGGGACAUAGGCGUGUAUCCCAGAUCGCUGCCGCCCCUCGGGGGGAGCGGGGCAGGCAGCAACAAUAACACUACGUGCAGCACCCGGCACGACUUUGAUCCCUCGGCAGCGGGGAACGUGAACACUACCGCCGCCAUGGGCGCGACGUUCCCAACUUCAUCGUUCCGUUCCACACUGACGGAUAGAGAUCCGUCCCGCGGUCCGUCGCUGCUGCGCGUCAGCGACCCUGCGCCUCCUCCGUUGACGCCGACAGCCCCCGCUACUACAGCGCCGACUCUAUCGGGACAGCACGUCCUUCACUGUCCUCGGAAGCCAGCCGCUAGCACUGGUGGCCCUCGCAUGCCCGUCUGCCUUACAAGUGCGAGCGUGCAGAGCCACGACGAAAAUGACGCGUGCCCACACUCGCAAAGCACCGGUGAAGGCGACGAGGCCGCCCCGCGGUCCAGCCAAAGGGCGUGCAGCCCAGCUCCUACGGAAGAUUACGCCAAUCAACACGCCGAUCGUCGGCUGGCACGCACUGUCGAGCAGGGCCCGCGGAGGGGUGAGGCGACGCCUAGACUACAUGCGGCGCCGUCCCGGUCAGAUAACACGGAGGUAGAUUUGCUGGCGCGCCAGUUCGUGCAGCGCACCGUUCUUUGGUCGUCCAUAUGCAACUGUGCCUCCGGCGGUGAGUCACCCGCGCGUUGUCGUCGUGACGAAUUGGUCAAGUCGACGGUGCGAACCGUCAGCGUGGGCACGGGAAGCGGCGCUUGUUCGCACGAAGCGACCGCGACCGUGCCGAUCUUCAGUACGACCGCAGCAAAGUCCAGCCAGUCAUGUGUGGGAAUCCUAAACUCUGCCAACGUGCAGAGUUCACACCGCGACGAGACAGAAAACGGGACUGCAGGCAGCUUUCCCCUCACCCGUGCAAACAACCCUGCCUUAUCGACUCGGGAGACGUUCCCGAUCCCUCGCUGCUGCCCCGAUGACUUACUGCGGGGUGACGGCAAGAUGUGGACCCCCGGCAAGCCGCUGCGUAUCGCGUACGUUACCUGGAACAUGGCAAGCAAGAGGCCACGCACCGGCGAGGUUUCCGCCCACUGCAUCUACCCCAACGCACACUUGGUGGUGGUCGGCACCCAGGAAAACGGCCCCUAUGUGAUGUCAAACAAGCACCAGCGCCGGUGGACGAAGAUAGUUUCGCAGGCCUGCCUUGGUGGGCAGUACGAGCUGGUCUGCCAGCACCAUAUGUGGGCGGUGCAGAUGCUCGUUUUUGCUCGUCGCCGCGACGUGGCUCACUACAUAUCACGGGCCCACGCGUCGCACGUGAAGACGGGGCUGCUGAACGGCCUGGGAGGGAAUAAGGGCGGCGUUGCUGUGGGACUAGUCUUAUCUCUGACGCCUAAAGACGCAGCGCCCCCCCAUCGUGCGAAAGCACAUCUCGCGACUGCUUCUGCUCCGCAGGCCCCACCGCUGAAGAGUAAGGCGUCCGGGGCGCGAGGCACGCCGAUAAAGCGAUCCGCUACCACACCUCAAAAUCUCGACAGCUCAAUGGUAAAGGGGAGAGAAAUUAGCGCUGGUUUCAUGUUGUCGAAAUCCUCCGCGGACUGCGCCGUUGGAAUACCUCCGCCUGUGAUGAGCAAUCCGUACAUGCUACACGACGCUGACGGCGAAUAUGGCAAGCUGCUGCAGCAGCACAGCUUGCCCGAUGGCAACAGCACAGGAAACCUCUUCUGCGACGACGGUGACACUGUCUUAGAAAAUGACGGGGUCUUCUCGCCUGCCGAGGUGAUGAGUCGCAACACCUCGUCUGAGCUGACGACUGAGCACGCCGAUGCCGAGCACUCUCACCGGCACACACAGCACUCCGAGAACGACAUGGAUCGGCAGGAACGUGGGGACGGUGACGACGACGCCUCGAGUGACGGCAGACCAGAUAACGUCACGCCGAAUUACAUGACGCUGCUGUUCAUCACCGCGCACCUUACGGCGCACCAAGGCGCUGUCAGCAACCGCAACAAGGACUACCGGCAGAUUGUCUAUGGCCUGCAGCUUGGCCGCCGCGGCCCGUAUCGUAAGUUCUUCAAGCUGUUGCUGGGUCGGAAGAAAGUGCUGGAUGGUGACGAUGAGGAGGAGGCAAGCGAUGAGGACGACGAGGCUGAUUAUUGGGAGGACAACAACCCUGAGGAGGGUGUGAUGCCUUUAAGGCUGCCCGUUGUGUCUGAAGUUGAGCACAAGCGAAAAAUGCGCCGCGACGUGACAGAGGAAUUCGACCUCACCUUGUUCGGCGGCGACCUGAACUACCGCAUCAACGGCACUCGCAAGGCCAUCGAAUACGUCAUCCAGCACCACAGCAACAUUCGAUCUAUCCUGAUCAACAACGACCAGCUGAGCCUUGAGCGGGCCCGCGGGAAGGUGUUUCAAGGAUUCCAGGAGGGGAAUCUUCUCUUCCGCCCAACGUACAAGUACGAAGUAUCGGCCGGCGGCGGCGUCACCCUCAACGAGUACAACUUUUCGCACAAAAAGAACCGCAUGCCGGCCUACUGUGACCGCAUCUUGUACAAAAAAAGGAUGAGCUCGGCUGCCCGACGCGUCGCCAUUCGGCUCUACACAGACGUCCCAAAUGUCCGCUCGAGCGACCACCGUCCCGUCGUGGCCCUCUUCGACGUCGGCACGCGGGCCUACACCGGCUGAGACAGUGGGUAGGCGUAGAUACUUGCUUCCAAGCACCUCUUGUGUAAGCAAGGGCGCAUCUUUCUUGAAUGUAUUUUCUUCCCUGGCCUACGUGCGUGCUGCUGACCCUUUUCAGUUUUCUUUUUGCCGCACACCUCCUCGUCGAACCCCCUCAACCCGGGUGCGCGUUCGUUGUGCCUACACACAAGCGCAUAUAUAUAUAUAUAUAUACGUACACGGGGCGGCAGUUGCGGCGGUGUGUGUCUCUCUGUUCUUGAUGUUCGGCUGGUGCGACUCCUCUCCCUCUCGUCUUUUUUUUCGUUUUUUUUUGUGUGUCUUGCCCAUUUGCUGCCUUCACGCUUUUUGUUUCUGCUCACCAUUUUUAUGAUAUUCGUGUUUUUUUUCGCUUGUUUUCUUCUUUGGUCUCUCGUCUCUGCGGUGGGGAUUUAUGUUGGUAACCGUAGUGGUAUCGUUUGGGGGGGGAGGAGGCUUCGGAUCCACAGCUCUCUCACUCUAUGUCCAUGAGAUGCUGUGAGGCACGGCGGCGCCUUUUUCGCCGGCGGAUACAGGGGAUGUGACUGGGUUCCGUGGUGCUCGAAGCGCGGACACGCAUGGCGACGGCUGUGCAGCUCGAAAACAACGCGAAGAAGGGCAGGAACGCACUUUUGAUCGUUCUUGCGUAGCGAGCGCCGUGUGACGCUUCCCCUGCUUUGUUUUGUGUGCCGUCAGCUGCCACGGUUGCCUAUUCGAAGCUGCUUCCUCCUGUCUUCCCUUUUUGCGCUCAUGACAUGAUCGGCACUGUCUGCGAGCAAAAAUUUUUCGUGGCCGCGCCUCGCGUAACUUUCUCUUGCUGAGCACACCAGUGUACAGUGAACCCCGCGUGUCUUCUGGUGAAGCAUGUGCACGCCUCCCAUUCACUUCCUGCUUCUCUCUUAUUGCUUUUUUUUUCUGUCGCCGGCCUACAUGAUGUGGAGCUGUAGAGGGGCAUGUGCGCGCAGCUUGGUUCGCACCUCCCUCCCUCCCUUGCGUUCUCUAUUGUAUGUGGAUCUCACCACAGCGCCCGCACUGGUGGUUCCGUUUGGUAAGCUGCUGAGCUGUUCAAUGGUCGGUGCCGUUCUCUCUACCUGGACUGCGCGGUCGCAAAGAAGAAGCUGAGGGGGAAGAGCGACGAGCACAUCACUCGUGUGUUUGCGAAUGUUUGUUGUACAUCUCUGGAGCGAGAAGACAGCGACAGAGUGCGACUAAAUAAUCUUCAAAAUAGAACCGAAAAUAAU
rnacentral:misc_RNA from 1 species